rnacentral:rRNA from 1 species
CACUAAAUGACUCUCGGCAACGGAUAUCUCGGCUCUUGCAUCGAUGAAGAACGUAGCGAAAUGCGAUACUUGGUGUGAAUUGCAGAAUCCCGUGAACCAUCGAGUCUUUGAACGCAAGUUGCGCCUGAAGCCAUUAGGCUGAGGGCACGCCUGCCUGGGUGUCACA